rnacentral:misc_RNA from 1 species
CCAAAAUUGAAUGAGUCAGAGAAAACGCUGUGAGCGCAAACCGACUGAGUACGUGCAAAGUAAGCCCCGGUAAACAGUGAAAUUGAAAUGUGAGAGCACGAAAUGUUAUUGACCGGAGGAAGUGUUGGUAGUGCUUCACGAGCAAACGAACGUUGGAAAAACAAGCUACGAUUACUUCGAAUGUCUAUAAGAGAGCUGGUUGGGCUGUUCUGCAGUCUACUAAAAGCAAACGGAGUGUUAACACAUGUAUUUAAUACGGUGACUGUAUCAAGCAACUGUUGAAUUAUAUUUAAGUGAUAUAUAUUGAAGUGUGCAGAAUUGAACGGAAGAAAUGGAAUAAAGUCACAAACAUUUAUAAUGUAUAUUACGAAUACAAACUUAUAACCAAAUAAAUGAGUUCAAGAGAAUCUAUGUGAAUAAAUAAUUGUGGGAAGCUUUGUCAUGCUGGGGAAAAUCGAAUUAAGUAAAAACCAUGAUAAUUUUGUUAAAAAUAUAUAAACAAUGAGUAUACAAGUGAAGAAAAUAAAGAAAGUUAAUGUAAAAAAGUGUACAAACCAUAGUUUCAAGCCUAAUCAGUUUCAAUUAUAAAAUACCAAUUGAGAAAUACCCCAAUAAAAUUUAUACAUGCAUCUACAUAGUUUGUACAAAUGAAUAAAUCACAUCAACAACGAAUGCAAUAUCUAUAAAUAAGCCAGUGAAAAGACCUAAUAACCUUAACUCAAGAGAAAACAAAACAGGAGCAGAGCAGAACAUAAUAAAAGCUAUACUUUUAGCGAAUGUUAAUGAUAACGACAAAAAAAUGACUGUGAUGCAGGAUGUGAAGUCUACAGAUGCUUGUGUGGCGGGCAUUAAUUGCUGUUCUAAUACUGCUAACUCGGAAACGUCAAUCGACAAAUCAUCUGUUUGUAUGAAUCCCAGUUCCACGAGUAAUGUUUUGUACAAGCCGAGUAAUUAUGACAAUUGGGAAUCCAAUUUUAACCUUUGCAAACAGAUUGAUAUCGAAUUCGAAAAUGUGAAGUACAUAGUGCGGAAGUUUAAUUUUCAUGAACGAAAAUUUGUAACGAAGGAGAUUUUACAUGGGAUUAACGGCGCAUUCCGAGCUGGGGAACUUACCGCCAUAAUGGGUCCAUCAGGCUCUGGAAAGAGUACACUACUCAAUGUAAUGACAGGCUUUAGAGCCACUGGUGUAACAGGCACAAUAUGUAUCAACGGGGAUCCCAUUUCAACAAACUCACCCAGUUUUCGAGAACUUUCUUGUUAUAUACAUCAAGACGACUUGUUGAGGCCACUGAUGACCAUUGGUGAAACGAUGAUGUUAGCCGCACAUCUCAAGCUGGGCUUCAGUACAUCCAAGGAAUACAAACAAAACUUGAUCAAACAUAUAUUGGCCCUGCUGGGAUUGGAGCAUCGGUAUCAUGUAUUUGCGGGGAAGUUGUCUGGCGGCCAGAAAAAACGACUGGCCAUAGCACUCGAACUGAUAAGCAAUCCCCCCGUUUUGUUUUUGGACGAGCCAACUACUGGUUUGGACAGUUCGUCGUGCAGUCAAUGUGUAUCGCUAUUAAAAAAGUUGGCAUCUCUCGGUCAUACCAUAGUGUGUACCAUUCAUCAGCCUAGCGCAUUGAUUUUCGAGAUGUUCGACAAACUAUACACUGUUGUUGAUGGAAGUUGCAUCUACCAAGGGCCAGUAAGAGAGCUUGUACCAUUCCUAGAAGGGCAGGAUCUGGUGUGUCCAAGUUAUCACAAUCCAGCAGAUUUUCUGCUGGAGGUUGCGGUGGGGGAGCACGAUCGCGAUUUAGUAAAACUCAUAAAUGCAGCAAACAAAAAGUAUCACGAAGAUGCAGAUAACCAACAAAUAAAUGUGCAACGCUUGCUAUCUCGUAUUAAAAGUAAAGAUGCGUGCAGCAAAAUCGCUGGCAAUUUGAAACGUUUCCCCAACGUUAUGUCCAAACUUACGUCCUUCGAUUACGUAAAACCCGCCGCGGACGAAGUGGCUUUGGAGGAAGUGAAAUCGCUGAAUGCCAGUGUCGGCACAAGGGAAAAGUUGGAUGAUAAAGAUUGCGAUGCUUGCCCAACAGGCCGUGGGAAAAUUAAUGGCCGACGUAGCACGGCCUAUAAGGCUUUACACACCGAGCAGGCCUCAUUUAUAAUGCAAUAUUUUCUGCUUCUGAAUCGGAUCUUUAUAUGUGCCCGACGGAAUUAUUUCUUGUUGUUGGCUCGGUUGAUGUCACACAUUGUAAUUGGCUUGGUAUUUGGUUACUUGUAUAUGAAUGUCGGCGAUAAAGCGACCACUGUGCUCGGCAACUACGUCUAUUUGUACGGUACAAUUUUAUUGUUGGUCUACACCGGCAAAAUGGCUGUGGUGCUAACAUGAAAAGUAAUUAGUCGAACUGUUUUGCAUAAAUAAUUUUCAAUGAACAUGGGGAUUAACCUUAGAAAAUAAAUUACAAUUCUCGGAAAUAUUCAGGUUAUCCAUUAUUGAAGUUAUUUACUAAUACACCCCUAUUAUCUCAUCUAUAUUGGUUUUGGAACGGAACUAGCCACUACAUAAUGCACUUCA